CUUGAAUAUCUAUAAGAGGUCCAGCCUGCCCAGUGACUUUGUUCAACGGCCGCGGUAUCCUAACCGUGCGAAGGUAGCGUAAUCACUUGUCUUUUAAAUGGGGACUUGUAUGAAUGGCAUCACGAGGGUUAUACUGUCUCCUUUUUCUAAUCAGUGAAACUAAUCUUCCCGUGAAGAAGCGGGAAUAAACAUAUAAGACGAGAAGACCCUAUGGAGCUUUAAACUCAAUAACAAAUACUGACCUUACAUCAACUUUCAGAAAAUCAACCUUAAUUUUAGUAUUAUGAUUGUUAGUUUUAGGUUGGGGUGACCGCGGAGUAAAAAUUAACCUCCACAUUGAACGGGACCUGUCCCUGAGCCAAGAACUACAGCUCGAAGCACCAACAAAUUGACAUUAAUUGACCCAAUAUUUUGAUCAACGAAC
rnacentral:rRNA from 1 species